rnacentral:tRNA from 1 species
GUUCAGCGGUUAGAACGCUGGCCUUGUAAUCCUGGGGGUCUCGGGUUCGAUUCCCGG